AUACGUAGGGUGCGAGCGUUGUCCGGAAUUACUGGGCGUAAAGAGCUCGUAGGUGGUUUGUCGCGUCGUCUGUGAAAUUCCGGGGCUUAACUCCGGGCGUGCAGGCGAUACGGGCAUAACUUGAGUACUGUAGGGGAGACUGGAAUUCCUGGUGUAGCGGUGAAAUGCGCAGAUAUCAGGAGGAACACCGGUGGCGAAGGCGGUUUUCUGGGUGGUAACUUAGGCUGAGGAGCGAAAGCAUGGGUAGGGAACAGGAUUGGAAACCUUGGUAGUCCUUGCCGUAAACGGUGUGCGCUAGGUGUAGGGGUCUUCCACGACUUCUGUGCCGUAGCUAACGCAUUAAGCGCCCCGCCUGGGGAGUACGGCCGCAAGGCUAAAACUCAAAUGAAUUGACGGGG
rnacentral:rRNA from 1 species